GUCUCGAUAGCUCAGUGGUAGAGCGUGGGAUUGCAGAUCCUAAGGUCAGGCGUUCGACCCGCCUUCGGGACU